UAGGAAUAUGCCUUGAAGUGGGGGAUAACUUGGGGGAAACUCAAGCUAAUACCGCAUAAGCUCUAAGGAGGAAAGCUAGGGACCUUCGGGCCUGGCGCUUUAAGAAUAGCCUGCGUCUGAUUAGCUAGUUGGUAGGGUAAAGGCCUACCAAGGCGACGACGGGUAGCCGGCCUGAGAGGGUGACCGGCCACACUGGGACUGAGACACGGCCCAGACUCCUACGGGAGGCAG
rnacentral:rRNA from 1 species